AUGAUGGGAAGGUGCACAGUUAUCUGGUGUUUGGACCUCCUCCUGGCUGAAGAUGAAGGCCCAAAACAGGAUCUUUCCCAGAAGCUGUGUUGCUUUGGCCAGGAAGGUGGCGGGUUGUCUGGAGCCGAAGAUGGUGCCGCCUCAGAAGCUCUGUGGCUCUCGCCUGUCCCAGAAAAGGCUGGCCUCUGUAUUCCACACCGUCACCCGUGCAGCCUGCCCUCCGCGGAGUCCCGGAGCCAAGGAGGCUCCCGCCAGGGCCUGAGGCAGAAACCGCUGGGGCCGGGUGGACCCCUGUGCUCUCACCAGGAAGGUGGCCAAUUGUCUGGAGCCGAAGAAUGGCGCUGCCCAGUGAAACUUGUAUAUGAGUUGUCACAGAUGCUGGGGCCCAGUAAGGGGAUGGAGAAAGCAGAAACUGAAGAUUCCUCUUGA
rnacentral:lncRNA from 1 species